rnacentral:rRNA from 1 species
GACGAACGCUGGCGGCGUGCCUAAUACAUGCAAGUAGAACGCUGAAGGAGGAGCUUGCUUCUCUGGAUGAGUUGCGAACGGGUGAGUAACGCGUAGGUAACCUGCCUGGUAGCGGGGGAUAACUAUUGGAAACGAUAGCUAAUACCGCAUAAUAGCAGUUAUUGUAUGAUAACUGUUUGAAAGGUGCAAUUGCACCACUACCAGAUGGACCUGCGCUGUAUUAGCUAGUUGGUGGGGUAACGGCUCACCAAGGCGACGAUACAUAGCCGACCUGAGAGGGUGAUCGGCCACACUGGGACUGAGACACGGCCCAGACUCCUACGGGAGGCAGCAGUAGGGAAUCUUCGGCAAUGGACGGAAGUCUGACCGAGCAACGCCGCGUGAGUGAAGAAGGUUGUCGGAUCGUAAAGCUCUGUUGUAAGAGAAGAACGAGUGUGAGAGUGGAAAGUUCACACUGUGACGGUAUCUUACCAGAAAGGGACGGCUAACUACGUG